CUUUCUAUAAUUGCCAACACACCAAUUAAUCGCAACCUUAUCUUCAGGACAUUUCUAAGUCCCUUCGUUUGGUUACUAAAACAAACAAGGUAAUUUGACAAAUAUACUAUGCAAUAUGCAUCCUUCUAAACUUUGCAUAAUGUCAAAAAGUUUGGCCAGAUGGACAAUGAUGUCAUCACCUAUGCUGCCUAUAUCAUCUUCUCUGAAGAAGAUUCCAACUCACAAUGUAAACUUGUGUUUUGCUUUUAAAGUUUUGGAUUUGAGCAACCAAAGAGGUACAACCCUUCAGUGUGCAGCAAGGAGGCAAGUUAGAUACCAAGAUGGGGAUGAAGAUAGAGAUGAUGAAUAUGGAUAUAAUGAGGAGAUUACUAAGUUGGAGUUCUAUAGUCAAUCAGCAAGAGGAGAAGCACUUCUUGUUCAUGCACUUGUGGACCAGGAGGAAGUAGAUGUGCUUAUCUUCAAGGGGUUCUCUUCAUGCUUGAGCUACAGUACCUCCCCUGACCCAUCAAGAAGCAUUCUUCCAGCCAGGGCAGUAAUAAUGUCCAUAGAUAGAAUUAAAGGGCCUUUUGACCCUGCCAAUAUAGAGUAUCUGCAGAAGGGUGUAACAUGGGAAGAAUUCAAGACAAAUCUUCUCUCUAAUUAAAGAGCAUGUGUACCUAGGGACUAAAAAGGAUCGAAAUCUCUUGAAGACAUAUAAGUAACUUGUGCAACAAGUAAGCGUAUUGGUAAAGCUUCAAGAGGUGCCCAGAUUCCCGGUGAGUCCUCACUAGGCAGGGACACGACACGUGGCUGAGGCAGUUGACAGAUCGGAUUUUGAGUGGCUGUAGGCUACUACCUUUUUGGAGUGUUUGAUGUCUUUUAGUAUUUUCGCAUUUGAUGGAUCAUGAUAUUGAUCCUUUAUUUUGUAUAUGGCCUGUAUAUGUUUUGUACAUGUUUGUCGCUUUGAUGCAUGUACAUUUGGGUAUUCAGGCACGUUAUAUGAUGAUGUAUUAUUCAGUUUAUGAUUUCUUAUUGGAUUGCAUGCUGAUUAGGAUAGUGGCACGAAGCCAUAUUUUGCA